rnacentral:rRNA from 1 species
GACGAACGCUGGCGGCGUGCUUAACACAUGCAAGUCGAACGGAAAGGCCCUGCUUUUGUGGUGUGCUCGAGUGGCGAACGGGUGAGUAACACGUGAGUAACCUGCCCUUGACUUUGGGAUAACUUCAGGAAACUGGGGCUAAUACCGGAUAGGAGCUCCUGCUGCAUGGUGGGGGUUGGAAAUUUUCGGCGGUUGGGGAUGGACUCGCGGCUUAUCAGCUUGUUGGUGGGGUAGUGGCUUACCAAGGCUUUGACGGGUAGCCGGCCUGAGAGGGUGACCGGCAACAUUGGGACUGAGAUACGGCCCAGACUCCUACGGGAGGCAGCAGUGGGGAAUAUUGCACAAUGGGCGGAAGCCUGAUGCAGCAACGCCGCGUGCGGGAUGACGGCCUUCGGGUUGUAAACCGCUUUCGCCUGUGACGAAGCGUGAGUGACGGUAAUGGGUAAAGAAGCACCGGCUAACUACGUG